GACGAACGCUGGCGGCGUGCUUAACACAUGCAAGUCGAACGUCAUCUUUGUGGAAAUUCUUUCGGGCAGGGAAAUGAUAUGAAAGUGGCGAACGGGUGAGUAACACGUGAGCAACCUACCUUACACAGGGGGAUAGCCGUUGGAAACGACGAUUAAUACCGCAUGAGACCACAGAAUCGCAUGAUAUAGGUGUCAAAGAUUUAUCGGUGUAAGACGGGCUCGCGUCUGAUUAGCUAGUUGGCAGGGUAAAGGCCUACCAAGGCGACGAUCAGUAGCCGGUCUGAGAGGAAGAACGGCCACACUGGAACUGAGACACGGUCCAAACUACUACAGGAGGCAGCAGUGGGGAAUAUAGCCAAACGGGGGGAAUCCUGAUGCAGCGACGCCGGGUGAGCGAAGAAGGUUUUCGAAUCGUAAAGCUCUGUCCUAUGAGAAGAUAAUGACGGUACCAAAGGAGGAAGCCCCGGCUAAAUACGUG
rnacentral:rRNA from 1 species